rnacentral:rRNA from 1 species
CACGUGGGUGAUCUGCCCUGCACUUUGGGAUAAGCCUGGGAAACUGGGUCUAAUACCGAAUACACCCUGCUGGUCGCAUGGCCUGGUGGGGGAAAGCUUUUGCGGUGUGGGAUGGGCCCGCGGCCUAUCAGCUUGUUGGUGGGGUGAUGGCCUACCAAGGCGACGACGGGUAGCCGGCCUGAGAGGGUGUCCGGCCACACUGGGACUGAGAUACGGCCCAGACUCCUACGGGAGGCAGCAGUGGGGAAUAUUGCACAAUGGGCGCAAGCCUGAUGCAGCGACGCCGCGUGGGGGAUGACG